rnacentral:rRNA from 1 species
GGAAUUGACGGGGCCGCACAAGCAGCGGAGCGUGUGGUUUAAUUCGAUGCUACACGAAGAACCUUACCCGGGUUUGACAUGCAAGUGGUAGUGAUCCGAAAGGUGAACGACCCGCAAGGGAGCUUGCACAGGUGUUGCGUGGCUGUCGUCAGCUCGUGUCGUGAGAUGUUCGGUUAAGUCCGCUAACGAGCGCAACCCUCGCUGUAUGUUACAUGUGUCAUACAGGACCGCCGGUAUCAAGCCGGAGGAAGGUGGGGAUGACGUCAAGUCCGCAUGGCCUUUAUGUCCGGGGCUACACACACGCUACAAUGGUCGGUACAAUGGGUUGCUAAGCCGCGAGGUGGAGCCAAUCCCCCAAAGCCGGCCUCAGUUCAGAUUGCAGGCUGCAACUCGCCUGCAUGAAGCUGGAGUUGCUAGUAAACGCGCGUCAGCUAUAGUGCGUUGAAUACGUUCUCGGGCCUU